GACAGAGGGGCAAGCGUUGCUCGGAAUCACUGGGCGUAAAGGGCGCGUAGGCGGGAUGGCAAGUCGGUCGGUGAAUCCUUCGGCUCACCGAAGAACGUCGGCCGAUACUGCCGUUCUUGAGGGAUGCAGAGGAGAUUGGAAUUCCCGGUGUAGCGGUGAAAUGUGUAGAGAUCGGGAGGAACACCGGUGGCGAAGGCGGGUCUCUGGGCGAUCGUCCUGACGCUGAGGCGCG
rnacentral:rRNA from 1 species